rnacentral:rRNA from 1 species
UACGAAGGGGUCUAGCGUUGUUCGGAAUCACUGGGCGUAAAGCGCACGUAGGCGGAUCUUUAAGUCAGAGGUGAAAUCCCAAGGCUCAACCUUGGAACUGCCUUUGAUACUGGGGAUCUUGAGUCCGGGAGAGGUAAGUGGAACUGCGAGUGUAGAGGUGAAAUUCGUAGAUAUUCGCAAGAACACCAGUGGCGAAGGCGGCUUACUGGUCCGGUUCUGACGCUGAGGCGCGAAAGCGUGGGGAGCAAACAGG